rnacentral:rRNA from 1 species
UACGUAGGGUGCAAGCGUUAAUCGGAAUUACUGGGCGUAAAGCGUGCGCAGGCGGUUAUGUAAGACAGUUGUGAAAUCCCCGGGCUCAACCUGGGAAUUGCAUCUGUGACUGCAUAGCUAGAGUACGGUAGAGGGGGGUAGAAUUCCACGUGUAGCAGUGAAAUGCGUAGAGAUGUGGAGGAAUACCGAUGGCGAAGGCAGCCCCCUGGGCCAAUACUGACGCUCAUGCACGAAAGCGUGGGGGAGCAAACAGG